rnacentral:rRNA from 1 species
CUCCUCCUGGUCUGUAACUGACGCUGAGGCGCGAAAGCGUGGGGAGCGAACAGGAUUAGAUACCCUGGUAGUCCACSCCGUAAACGAUGAGUGCUAAGUGUUAGAGGGUUUCCGCCCUUUAGUGCUGCAGCAAACGCAUUAAGCACUCCGCCUGGGGAGUACGGUCGCAAGACUGAAACUCAAAGGAAUUGACGGGGGCCCGCACAAGCGGUGGAGCAUGUGGUUUAAUUCGAAGCAACGCGAAGAACCUUACCAGGUCUUGACAUCCUCUGACAACCCUAGAGAUAGGGCUUCCCCUUCGGGGGCAGAGUGACAGGUGGUGCAUGGUUGUCGUCAGCUCGUGUCGUGAGAUGUUGGGUUAAGUCCCGCAACGAGCGCAACCCUUGAUCUUAGUUGCCAGCAUUCAGUUGGGCACUCUAAGGUGACUGCCGGUGACAAACCGGAGGAAGGUGGGGAUGACGUCAAAUCAUCAUGCCCCUUAUGACCUGGGCUACACACGUGCUACAAUGGGCAGAACAAAGGGCAGCGAA